AUAUACCAGAGAGCACCAGGUUAGUUCCGAGCACCGAGGCUCCUAUAAAUUUAAGCGACCAGGGUCCUCUUCAUCAUUGGCGUCUUCGUCUUUCUAGUGCAGUUCCUCCUCUUGCAAUCGAAGCGAUUGCAACCAGUUCAAUUGCAACGCUUUUUCCUCCUUCAAUUGCAGCUCUUCGUGGCCAUUGCAGCACUUCCCCCUCCUCCUUCGGUUGCCAAGCUAGGAGAUGAUGUCCUCCUCCUUGUUGGUAGCUCUGCGAGGGACAAGUAAUUGGAAAAAUUGAGUUGCGAAGUGUACGCAUGUGAGCUUGGGUGGUGGACAACGAGGUGAAUAAAUUGUGCUCCCAGUAUUCCAGGGAAGCAUCUCUUGUGGUCUUUAUGUUCAAUCUGUACAUUGCCAGACGCAAUCUUUUAUACUAAUUGAAUGAUGCUUGCAGCUUUUUGUCGUCGGCAAUGACGUAGACGUUGAUAAAUCUGCAUCUGUUGCCGCUUGUGGAAGGCAUGGUCCUGACCGAAAUGUGGUCAAUGUAACUAGACUCUUGUGUAACGCAAUGUGUUACACAAGCGGCCCUGAUAAGCCUGAAAUGCGGUCGAUGUAACUAGACUCUUGUGAUCAAGUUUCGCAAUACAUGAUCAUUCUGUUGGUAAUGUGAAUAUCGUCAUCAUUCGACAAGACGCUCAAAUGAGUCACAUUUUGGAACCGUAAAGUGCCUAGAUUUGAUCUAAGUAUUCUCAUACAGUUAUUUCUGUUAUUUUUUAUUUCUAAUUUCUGAUACAGUUUUUCUAAUACAUAGUUUAUACAGUUAUUUCUGUUAUUUUCUAUUUUUGAUUUCAGAUAUAGUUUUUCUGAUACAUUAUUUAUGUAGUAAUUUUGAUAAUUUUUGAUAAUUUCUGAUACAAUAUAUUUGAUAUUUCUAAUGCAUUUUUGAUGUA